CAUUGAUUUAUAAGUUUUUAAGCAUUCACUCGCAGCACUUAAACAUUGGUAGACCAGUAAAUGACAGCACCAUGAACCGAAUAUUAUUUGACUGCGGCCAUGCUGGAACACCACAUUUAGUCGAACAAAUGGAGCCCAGGACUUAUUCUUUGUCCCCAAAAGUAUAUACUCAAAGCGUGCCAAUUUUCAGAUAAUUGUGAUGUGGCUAAGACAAUUGUCGAAAGAACGAACGGAAGAACGGACAAAACAUUUGAUAAUGGGAGUAAUUCCGUCUUGUCAAAGAGACGACAAGCUGUUAAAUCAUUUCCACAGAACAUAAACGAUCAUUGAAAUCAUUGAUGCGUAAAGUGAGUUUUGUAAGUAAAAACCAGACACGUAAUGCGAGAUUAAGUCACAAAAUUGUAAAAACUCGAAAUAUUACUGAUUAUAUCAAUAACUACCAAUUAUGUAAUAUCAUUAAUAAUCGAGAGAUUGAAUGUAAAAGAUGCUGUUAUAUUUUUAUCUAUAAUGACACUGAGAAAAUAGU